GAUGAACGCUGGCGGCGUGCCUAAUACAUGCAAGUCGAGCGAAUGGAUUAAGAGCUUGCCCUUAUGAAGUUAGCGGCGGACGGGUGAGUAACACGUGGGUAACCUGCCCAUAAGACUGGGAUAACUCCGGGAAACCGGGGCUAAUACCGGAUAAUAUUUUGAACUGCCUGGUUCAAAAUUGAAAGGCGGCUUCGGCUGUCACUUAUGGCUGGACCCGCGUCGCAUUAGCGAGUUGGUGAGGUAACGGCUCACCAAGGCAACGAUGCGUAGCCGACCUGAGAGGGUGAUCGGCCACACUGGGACUGAGACACGGCCCAGACUCCUACGGGAGGCAGCAGUAGGGAAUCUUCCGCAAUGGACGAAAGUCUGACGGAGCAACGCCGCGUGAGUGAUGAAGGCUUUCGGGUCGUAAAACUCUGUUGUUAGGGAAGAACAAGUGCUAGUUGAAUAAGCUGGCACCUUGACGGUACCUAACCAGAAAGCCACGGCUAACUACGUGCCAGCCGCCGCCGUAA
rnacentral:rRNA from 1 species